rnacentral:lncRNA from 1 species
UCAAGCUGGAUGAAGACUUCUAAAUUUUAGCAUUAUUAUUGGUUCGUUUUAUUUUUUGGAAUGGUAGAGUUAGGUUUGUGCUGUUCUUUUAAGAAUCCAACAUAUAUAGUUUGUGUGUUAAGCUUAAUAUCAGCACAAGGGUUGUGUAAUAAUUUGAAUUAAUGUUGUUUGUUUUUUGUCCUCUUAUAAAAAAAGUGCCUUUAGGGUAUAUGAGUUGGCUUUCCAUUGACUGAGUUCUCAUUUCUAGCAGUCCUCGUUUGAGCUUGAGAUAUAGUAAUAGAC